rnacentral:tRNA from 1 species
GGAUUGUGGCUCAGCGGUAGAGUGCUCUCCUAGCACGGGUGGGACUUGAGUUCGAUCCUCAGCACCA